ensembl:lncRNA
GAACGCUCUGGGGUAUGCUGGCUAUGUGGUGGCAUCCAUGUCGGUGGAGUCAGGUCGCUCUGAUUCAAACAACAAUCUGAUAAAUAAGAGACUUUUGGAGAAGUACGUCUCUCAGUUUCCUGCUGGCCGCUAUGCCAUUCGGGUGAAGAAGGACGCACUGAGCUCCCAACCUGCCACUACAGCUUCUGCCUCUACACAGGCCGCCUCCACAUCCCAACAGCCUUCAGCCUCCUUGCAGGCUGCUGUCAAUGUAGCACCCGCCUUCUCUCCACGAUCAUCCGUAGUGCCUGUAUCCUCCCUACGCGGCCUCUUGUCAAGGAGAGACCAGUCUCCCCAGGCUGUCGCCAAAAAUAUAAAGAGCCUCUCCACAAAACCAAGGUUUCAGCCAUCUAUUCCUGCCCUGCCACGCGCUGGAUCCAUUAAAACGGAACCAACUGACAGCGAGCUCAUGCAGGCUGCCGCAGAAGUUGACCCCGACACAUCGCGUAAGUGUUUUUAUUUUAUGCACACAGCCCCCCCCUCUCUCUCUCUCUCUCUCUCUCUCUCUCUCUCUCUCUCUCUCUCUCUCUCUCUCUCUCUC